rnacentral:rRNA from 1 species
AGGAUGAACGCUAGCGGCAGGCUUAACACAUGCAAGUCGNGGGGUAGAAGGAGCUUGCUCCUUUGAGACCGGCGCACGGGUGCGUUAACGCGUAUGCAAUCUACCUUUGCAGAGGGAUAGCCCAGAGAAAUUUGGAUUAAUACCUCAUAGUAUAGUACUUUGGCAUCAAGGAACUAUUAAAGUCACAACGGCAAAAGAUGAGCAUGCGUCCCAUUAGCUAGUUGGUAAGGUAACGGCUUACCAAGGCAACGAUGGGUAGGGGUCCUGAGAGGGAGAUCCCCCACACUGGUACUGAGACACGGACCAGACUCCUACGGGAGGCAGCAGUGAGGAAUAUUGGACAAUGGGCGCAAGCCUGAUCCAGCCAUGCCGCGUGCAGGAUGACGGUCCUAUGGAUUGUAAACUGCUUUUGUACAGGAAGAAACACUGGUUCGUGAACCAGCUUGACGGUACUGUAAGAAUAAGGAUCGGCUAACUCCGUG